rnacentral:rRNA from 1 species
UACAGAGGGUGCGAGCGUUGUCCGGAAUCACUGGGCGUAAAGGGCGCGUAGGCGGCCUGAUAAGUAGGGGGUGAAAUCCUGUGGCUUAACUGCAGGGCUGCCUCCUAGACUGUUAGGCUCGAGCACGGUAGAGGCAGAUGGAAUUCCCGGUGUAGCGGUGGAAUGCGUAGAUAUCUGGAGGAACACCGGUGGCGAAGGCGGCAUCCUGGACCGGUAUUGACGCUGAGGCGCGAAAGCGUGGGGAGCGAACAGG